rnacentral:rRNA from 1 species
ACUCCUACGGGAGGCAGCAGUGGGGAAUUUUGGACAAUGGGCGAAAGCCUGAUCCAGCCAUACCGCGUGCGGGAAGAAGGCCUUCGGGUUGUAAACCGCUUUUGUCAGGGAAGAAAUCUUCUGGGUUAAUACCUCGGGAGGAUGACGGUACCUGAAGAAUAAGCACCGGCUAACUACGUGCCAGCAGCCGCGGUAAU